CAAAACAUUUUUUUUUGUUCAAAAGCCCAAUUCCAUUUUAUAGUUUUAACACAGUCCCUUUCGUCUCCCUCCCUCGUAUCCCUAUCUUCUCCGGCACUCCAAACUUGUGCAUCUACCCCUUUCCUCAAAUGCGGCAGUUUGCCUCCAUCUUAUCUCUCAAAAUUCCUAAACCUUCCCCCUAAACAAAUCCGGCAGAAUCGCUAGCAACACAUGCCCGCCAUUGUCUCGCCGCCACCAACGAUUGGUCAAACAACAACAACCAACUGGACCAUCGCCGUCGCCGUCCUCCCAUCUCUUAGCCGAGCAGCAAAUCCAUUCGUUCCCCACCUCCUUUAUCUCUUUUUCUAAUUCUUGUUCUCUUUCUACCUAAUUUACCCAUAAAAUCGAAUAAAAAAUUCGAAUAAUUUCGAAUGAUUCAUAUACCAUUUCGAACAAUGAUUUGGUGUUUCGAAUAGUAUUUUCUCACGUUUCUAUUCGGUGUUUCGCUCCCAAAUUUGGUCUCGUGUUCUUCUUCAUCCCUGAUUCUUCUCUUCUUAAUUCGGCUGAUUUACGAUUUUUGAGUGCAUUUUUUGUGCUCGUCUCUCAUUUAUGUAUACUCAUAUUUUUCUUUUCUGGUACGGAAGAAAUUAGAUUUGGAAGAGUCGAAGAGAAAACUGCUGAUUGAUAAGAAAAAAUGUGCUAUUUUUUUCUGGUCAUAGAGAACUUAGAUUUGGAAGAGAGAGAGAACUACCUAUUGAUUAAAAAAAGAGCACACGUUUAUUCAAAGAAAACCGUAAAAGAAAACAAUAGAAGAAAUUUGCCGGAAAAAUAUUACCGUUAAACUCGUCUUUUAU
rnacentral:lncRNA from 1 species